rnacentral:rRNA from 1 species
UACGUAGGGUGCAAGCGUUAAUCGGAAUUACUGGGCGUAAAGCGUGCGCAGGCGGUUUUGUAAGACUGUCGUGAAAUCCCCGGGCUCAACCUGGGAAUGGCGAUGGUGACUGCAAGGCUAGAGUUUGGCAGAGGGGGAUGGAAUUCCGCGUGUAGCAGUGAAAUGCGUAGAUAUGCGGAGGAACACCGAUGGCGAAGGCAAUCCCCUGGGCCUGCACUGACGCUCAUGCACGAAAGCGUGGGGAGCAAACAGG